UCAAUACGGCGGGUCAAUGAAACCGCCGUAAUAAGCACUCUACUAGCGCAAAUUUUAAGUCGCCAUAUUAUGCAACCGUAAAAUGGCGGUUUAUCGUAUAUUACGGCGGACAAACUUAAAAUAAGCGUCACUCGAAGUCUCACCAAUUAGAACUUCCCCCAAAUAAAUCCUAUUCUUUGCAGUUUUCCCUCUCCCUUGCCGGUGUUUCAUCAGAUCCCUGUAGCCGGCGAUUCUCUCUUCUCUCCUCUUCUAUUCUCGCCGAGGCAGUCGAUUCGAACGCGAGAAGGAGGCUAUCGAUUCGAACACGAUGAAGCUCGUAUGGAGUUUGCUUAUCUCCGCAGCGGCUUCAGUUAUCUCAACUCCCAACUUCAAACGAAGUUCAGCUAGGAGAAUUGAGGGAUGAGUAUCUACAAAAAAACUUAUGGAAAAUCACAGAAGUUAUUAGCAUCAGUUGCUCAGACUCUAUCAGUAGGAUCAAAUAAUAUUGAGCAAGUUAAUUCUGAUUCUCUCUCGAGUUCCAUUGAGGAAGCACAUCAAAUUGAAGCUGUGGAUAUGAAUUUGGUACUGCCUUGGGUCAAGAGGUUAUACAGGGGCAUACAAUAUUCUAAUGUUGAUGCUGAAAGUCCAUGUAAAAGAAAAGCUUUACUCCAUAUCAGCCAAAAAGUACAUUGAUACAAGCACAACUAUUCUGGAUGUGCAAGGAGUAUGGUAUGUUGGCUAACUACUGGUCCUUAGAGUGUGACUGAUCCAGUUGUUAUUUCCGUUGAUCUUUGGUGACUUUGGAGAGACCGGCAAAGGAAUAUAUGUUUGUCUUAUUGCUAGUUUAUAUUCAUCACUAGCAUAAACUAUACGAAUCAUGGUGCAGGAAUGAAGAACUUCAACAAAUCAGCAAGAAAAUUCAUUGAAUGCUUCCAAACUAUCGAUGGUAACAAUUUUCCUUAGGUAAUUUCUUCUCUCUCAACUAGCUCAAGCCAUGGCUAGCUCUCUUCUUUCUCUAAUUAGGGGAGUAGGGAUGACGUGAUGCUCACAGACUGUUCGAUAAUAUGCGUCACUGAAAAAAUCAAUUGUUGAAAAUGGUGUUAUCUAAUAUUUGAAAAUGGUGUUACAUGUUGAUAAUUAGUCUCAAUAUUGAUUAAUUGUUAAGUGAUAUCAGUUUGGGGAUUGAUUGCGAAGCGGAUCAUAAUGGCUUUCUCUUUUCAGUUACCGAUUUGCGGAUAAUCUUUUAAUUGAUAUGGGGUGUACUUGAGUGAUUAUUCUCCCGAUUAUUAAUUUUUUAGCUGUAAACUAGGGACGCCAUAAAUCUUGUGUGGAACUGUGGACGAGAACAUGUUGUACGAAUGGAAAUUGAGUGUUAAUUGAAGCUUAGAUAAUGCUGCCUGCUUAUGCAGCUCGGGCAUUGCGAAUGGAGCAAGGCUGCACAGUGUGCAUAUGUUUCUACUACAUCACCUUUCUCCUAUUUUGAUUUGAUUGUUUAUUGAAGUCUGUGAUUUUCAUGUGUUAUUGAAUCUUCUCCCGAGGGAUUUAACAUGCUGAGGCGUAUGUAUGAAAAUGUCCAAGAGCCACUCCUAAAUGCAACAACAUUGUCUGGAUAUACGAGAAACGAUGUGGGGUCUAACCAGUUUGCAGCUCUUUUGGGAGCACAAGGUGGUGGGCAAGGCAGACACCAGUCAAAUAAUCCUCCAACUUCCGGUUCUGAGACAACUAAUAAUUCGCCUGCUUCUAAUACUAAUCCACUUCCUAAUCCUUGGGCAUCUGUAGGCAGUUGCGCCGCGACUCCUAGAAGCCCGAAAAGAUCACUCGAUGGAAAUCACUAUGCGGAUCAUGAGUAUUCAUUGAAUGUAUCUCUAGGAUUUAUUACUGUUUUUUCCCUUAUGUUGAAUUGAUGUAAAAUAUUACUCCAUGUAUUUUAAUGCAUUUGAUGGUGUAAUUCUGAAGUGCGUAUGGUUUUUAUGUA